GCGAAAAGAGAAAAGUGAAAAACUGCGCGGGAUCCGUUGGAAAAUCAAAACGUGUACGGUCGGAUCGCCGGCGUUUCAUUAGGACGAAAUUAUUAUUACCGCAAAACGAUCGAACCGCGCAAUAAUAACGCGACGGAUAAAGCGCAGUCGAGCAAUUAGGAGUAAAAGAAAAACCCGAAUCUACGUGAAAUCCGCCGUGAAAUUGUCCGCGAUUUACC